rnacentral:rRNA from 1 species
UACGUAGGGUGCAAGCGUUGUCCGGAAUUAUUGGGCGUAAAGAGCUCGUAGGCGGUCUGUCGCGUCGGAUGUGAAAACUCUGGGCUCAACCCAGAGCCUGCAUUCGAAACUGACGAGCUCGAGUUCUGGAGGGGAAAGCGGAAUUCCUGGUGUAGCGGUGAAAUGCGUAGAUAUCAGGAGGAACACCGGUGGCGAAGGCGGCUUUCUGGACAGAAACUGACGCUGAUGCGCGAAAAGCUAGGGGAGCAAACAGG